CCCAGGCAUGUGCCCUUGGCCGGAACCGAACCCGGGACCCUUCAGUCCGCAGGCCGACGCUCUAUCCACUGAGCCACACCGGCCAGGGCUUCCAUGGCAUUUUUAAUGGUCACAUGAUAUUUCACUGUGUGGCUGUGUCUUAAUUUACGUGGCCAUUCCCUUGCUCUAGGAUAUUUAGCUGCUCUUUUUUUGUUGUUGCUCUCAUGUUAUAUUACAGUUAACACCGGUGAACAUACAUCUAUUAAAGUAUUUUUUGAAAAUAAGUCUUAAGUAUUUAGCCACUUUUAGUUAGAACAUCUGCUUCCCUGGAUCAGGUAUAAUUGCAAAGUGGUUUGUUUGUUUUUUGGUUAUGAAAUUUAAGUAGAAUAGCUGGUUCUCCUUCGAUUCAUCCCUUUCUUCUUUAGCCACAGACUUAAAAAAUAAAAUUCCCUUCUUAGAAUAGCAUUUUCUCACAUUGACUGGGAGAUGGGUAAUUUCAAGCACGUGAGAGUGAGUGUUAUCUGUUAAACGAAACUCGAAACUCAAGUCGGGUGGCGGGAAGUGCGUGAGGGUCAAGCUGCGCUUUGCACGUCAGAGCACAGGUAGUUGGGGGGUGGGGUGCAGAGCCUUAGCGAGAAACCCAGGACCCGCUGGCUGCACCUGUGUCAAGGCCCCGGCACACCCUGAGCUCUGCGCACACACGGCUGCUUUGGCUGCUGGUCCCGGCCAGAAACUGCUACUGAGAAAAACCGGGUUUCGAAAUUGCCUUCCGUUACGCGGCGGGGAGGAGGGGCCAUUCAUUGACCUCCUUGCACUAAAGCAGGCCAGGGAUUGGCCCUGUCCGUCCCUUUAUCCAAUAUGAUUGCGUGCCCCCCCAACCCCCCACGACCGUGACCAUGACCGUGACCGGGUGGCAGGCAUUUCUGCUCCCACCAGGCAGCUGCACCUCUACCCAGAGUCGAGCGUGUUUGCUCUCAGACCGGUUGUUCUGGUUUGGCAGUCACAGCCGUGCCACGAUUCCAUUCAGUACUGUGGCAGCUGCUGAGCCACCGGCGUGAGGAGAGGGAAAAGUGGGCGCAGGGCAGCACCCACUGCCUGCUGCUCGAGGAGAAAGCAGCUGGAGAACCAGGGGCAGGCCAGCUUGGGGGGAAUCGGGGAAUUCUAGAUGCCGCUCGCCCUGCCCGUCCCGCGCCUGGCAGCUCUCCGCGGGCGAGGCCGCCGUCCGGGCAGAAACACUUCCGUCACUCGAGCUGGUGGGUGCUUCCUUUCUAGGAAGAGACCUUUGUCCCCAACCGGGGGUGGGGAGCCCUUUUGGCCAAGGGCCACGUGGGUAUUUCGAACAUCACUCGCGGGCCAUACAGAAUGAUCGGCUCAAAAAAUAGCCUGUAUGUGGCCAAACAUUUAAUCGACUCUCCCCGAUGCCUCGGCUGGGCCCGGCCAAAUGAUUCCGCGGGCCUCCUACAGCCCGUGGGCCGGACGUUCCCCACCCCUGCCUCCCAAGGAGAAAAGGGGCAGGUGUCUUUAUGAUUUUGUUUAUUCAGUGAUUCCCUGUUUCAAGCAAACUGCUCGGUGAGCCGGCAGCUAACUGGUUCCGAUGGUCGUGGGUGAGGGCUCUCGGGGCUUCCCUGGCCCCCCUGCUGACACCGGGCUCUGUGGCCAGGUGGGCCCGGCGUGCGGAGCCCUGGCCGGGAGGAGCCUGGGACGAGGCGGUUCCCUGUGAUCAGCUGAGUGUCCCCUCCACACCCUGCCCUCCUCCUCCUCCUCCUCCCCUUCCCCCACCCUUCCCCCCCCCCCCCCAGAGCCCCAGGCCUUAGAAGGUCAGUGCUGGUCUCCAGUGACAGUCACAGCUCGGACAGUUCUCGGAACCGCACACCUGUAAUAGCCACAUCAUCCAGGAAGGGGCAGGGCUAGGGCUGUUUUCUCUGAAUAUUAGCUAAUGAGGCUUCCAGGGAAAAGCAACAGCAGAAACGCCCGGAAUAGGGUUCCGCCAGGACUAGGAGGCCAUCCGUCCAGUUGUGUGAGCCCGAGACCACCUGCCUCUGUCCGGGCGGCCCAUUGGUUUUCCAGCCCAGCCUUUGCCUGUGUGCGGUCACUAGCCCUCAGAGGGAGGGACGCACUGAUUUCAGGUUCGAGCCAGCCCCACGCGGAGGGGCGGUCCGGGCGACACCCCACGGCCUGCUGCUCUCUGAGGGCAGCCGGUUCUGUCUCAACCAGCGGGACUUCGGGUCUUCAGUCAAAAACAGCCCCCUCGGCCUCUCGGUUCUGCCUGUCGCGUGGGGUGCUCUGGUGGGAGGUUCGAUGAGCCGCUGGCCCCGUCCUUCCCCGCAGGCUGCAGUCCGGGGACGGUUUCCCACGCCCACGAGGUUGCCGUCUUUUAGGGCGUUUCAUCGUGCUUGCGGCGUUCUCGCUGUAUUGUCCCACAUCUUUCACCUUGGUAACAUGCUGCACAGUCCGACUCUGCAGCCACUGCGGGUUUUUGGUUUUUUAUGAAAACUCAAAGGAACGCUUGGGAAGCACCGCGGGCGUGUGGGUAGCACGCAGCUCUGGGCACGUGCGGGCUUGGGGCACAGGGUCCACCUGGAAGCCGCGGGGAGAUGAGCUACCCCGGACAGGUGUUCUCACGGAAUGGGGGAGGAAUUUGGGCUUCCUAAUCCCCUGACCUUUCAAAUCCAAGGCCACACUCACAGUGCAGGUGGUGCUGCUGGAAUUGACCUUGAAGUAACUGGCGAGCUCGAGCAGGUGCAGCACAAUGAAGGCGACGAGGUUAAGCUGGCGAACGCCUGCCAGCCUUUCAUCACCUAAUCCGCGAGCCGGCGGUUUAAAGUCCCGUGCAACCCAACCUUUGCUGCCGUGGAAAACCACGGCAGGCUUGUCUCCGCCUUUGUCUCUGGGCUAUAGAGAACUGUCCGUUUAAUGUUACCUGGAGAGGAAAAUAGCAAAAUCCAAAAGGAACCGUGGAAGAAUAUCUUCAGGUGAGGAUUAACAACAACAAAACAACAUUUAUCCCGGUUUUCCUAUAGAAACCAUUUCAGAUACUCAAACCGAGGAGGCAAAAAGCUCUCUACAGAAGAAUUCCAGCCCUCACGCACAGAAGACGAAAUUAAAUAAUUACUGUUAACUUUAGGAAGUGUGAUUGUGGCCUGUAGUGAGAAUUACAGUCCUUGCCCAUUAGAGAUACAUAUUAAAGACUUUAAGCCUGCAGUGAUCAGGUGGCUGAGAUUUGCUUUAAGCCCUGAAGCGAGCUUGGGAAUGGUGCUGCCUGUGGACCUGGGGAAGGUCCACAGGGACUCCUGACACGUCUCCCGGCUCUGCUCUGUGCUUGACGAUAUCCGCAAUGAAAAGGUAAAUCAGAGAUAAAUAGAAGUGAAACGCAGGCCAUUCCUGGGACUUGAAAACAGGGAAAUGAUAGUAGACUGGACCGUCAGUGGCAGAGAGCAGCUUUCCCAGCGUAAUUUACACACAGUCCUGUAGAAACACGUCGAGAGAGACGGUCCUCACACGUGGCGUCGGAGCCCUGGGGUUCCUCACGACACCUGGGACUUUGCUGGUCUCUGACGGCAGCACCUCCUCAGGUUGCACCUCCUCCUUAGAGAAAGGGGGACAGGUCUGUCCAGCCCUCCGCCUCCGAGAGGAGGGGAUGGAGGUGAUGCGUGGAGAGGGGGUCGCAGGGCCAGGCCUGCAGGGAGUGCUCAGCAAGCGCUGGCCGAUCCUGCUGAGGUGGAGGCUGUCCCAUCACCGGUGACGCACUCACUCGCAUCUUUAAAUUCACAUCUGUUUUGAUUUUGUUUUCUCUUUCCGGCCUUUCAUGGGAAGAGCAGGUGCAGUCUGUGUUGGGGGGGGGGGCUGCGGGCGGGGGCUGCAGUGCAGGGCGAGCGCCGCGCAGCCCACGGGCCUGUCUCCGUGGACGGUCGUGAGGGCCUGCUGUGUUCUGGCUGCCGCCUCCCCAGAGCCUGGCACGGAGAGGUGCUCCAUACGUGUUUCCUGAAGUUCGUGAGUUUUUUAACGGAUGUGUGAGUUUCGGGGCAGCGAGGCCGUCGUCGUCGCAGCCUCGCUCUCCCGUGGUCCUGGCACAAUCUCCAAAGACGGGGGGCCACGUCCUGCCACCGAGAAAGGUGUGACGGUGUGAGGCCGGCUCGCGUCCAGCGUGUCUGCAUUCUCUGCCUUAGCGGGAGUUUGCUUUAAGGCAGUCACCGCAUCAUCCGAAUUCUUCCCUUUCCGGUUCACCGCCAAACCAUGGCCCGCCGUGCGAGCGAGGAAAGCCGUUUCCAGCCCCCAGCGGGUGGUGUGUAGUGAUGGUGUGUCUGUGGUGCUGCUGUGGAGCAGUGUAUGGUAAACAUUUAGGAAGCUAAUCUCCAGAGCAGUUUAGCAAGUUAACAGUUAACCGACAGUGGCCUGAGGCCCGAGGUCCUGAUCCCUGCAGAUUAGGCUGAGGGGUGUUUAGAGAGAGGCCUGUUGGCCGGGGUCAGGUUCUGGGCCUUGGAGUGAGCACUCGAUUCUCUUAAGGGGGCGUGUGAGCUCCCAUGUCAUUUUAUUUAACCGGGAAAGCCCUGCUGGUUUCGUCAGCCAGGCUCUGGCAAGACGGCCCCCAGCUCAGCGACUUGAGAGGCGAGUCCUAAAGGUGCGCUUCACCAGGAAACCUGGGCGUAGACCCCAGGGCCGGGGCAGGCCUGGCCUUGGGGGUGUGUUGCCUCCAGACCCCAGGGGUGGAGAGAACAGAGAGGGAGAGAGGGCUGCUUUGAAUGGGGAGAUGGGUCUGGCCACCUACAGUCACCCCAUGGGGAGGGGACCCAGAGAACCCCAUCCUCAGUCCCCAUCGCCAAGUCCAGCAAGAACUAGAAGGCAAGGGGCCUGUUGAACUGGUCCUGGGGCCCAGCUCAGCCAGUUGGCCCCUGGGGCACAGAGCAGGAUGGAGACAGACGGACAUUCCAACACCGUGUCAGUGCCCUGGGGCUGCCACAACAAGGACUACAAAUUUGGUGGCUUAAAACAGGGAUAGGGAAUGUCUGGCCCUCGGGCCACAUAAGGCCCCUGAAAUCACUUGGCCGGCGAAGGCAUUAGGGGCGAGUUAAUUAAAUGCUUGACCAAAUACAGCAGGCUACUUCUUAAGCUGGUAAUUUGUAUGGCCCACGAGUGAUGUUAUAAAUAUCCAGGAAAAGGGUUCCCCGUCCCUGGCUUAAAACAAGAAAGCGACUCUCCCAGUUCCAGAGGCCUGAGGUCUGAAACCGGUGCCCACACGCCCCCUGGAGGCUGCCGGGAAGUGCUCCUGCCCUCCCAGCCUCUGCUGGCCGUGGCUCCCGGGCUCGUGGCCGCGUCGCUGCAGUCUCUGCCUCGUCUGCGCGGCCCCUCUGUAUCUGCCUAGUCUGUGUGUCUCUUACCAGGACACGCGUGGCUGGUUGAGGGCCACUCCGAUCAUCCAGGGAGAUCUGGUCUCCGGACCCUUAACUUGGUCACAUCUGCAAAGACCCUUUUCCCAAACAAGGCCAUGCUCCCGCGAUCCAGGGAUGAGGAUGUGGACUCAUCUUUGGGGGGGGGGGGGGUGCCAUUCCGCCCACUCCAAGCACCAUCACUCCCAGGAGUACAAACUCCAUUGUGACACAGCAGCUCCCCAGGCCUCCCCCCCCACCCCACCCCAUUUUUGAUGAAUGAACAGUUACCUGAACAAGCACAAUGGACUGCGGUACAAAUGCACUCACCCCCAAGGUGUGCACUGACCACCCUGCAGUAGAUACUUCAUGUGGGUGGAGCAUGUGGGUUCCACCUCCACAGAGCUGUGCCUCAGGGACGCCCGGCCAUCACGUGGGCGAGAUUGUACGGCUUGUGGGGCUGUGGGGUGGUGGUGGGUGAGCACCGCAACCACGUCUCCAGCACUAAACGGGGUGUUGAGCGUUUAAAGACCCCCAGCACCACCAAGCAUCUCCGUGUGUUUGUUGAAAUUCACUAACAUAACUCAGUAAUGGCACUGACUUCGCUAUAAGGACUGUAUUACAAGGGGACGCAGAGGACUGCCCCGAGCAUGUUGCCGUACGCUGGGUGAGCUUGGAAAUGGGCAGGUUUAGGAAGGCACAACUCUCAGAGCUGAGGUAGCCGGACCGGCCAGCGCCAAUCAGAAUCCCACGUCGCAGAGCCUUCUGCAGACCCAAGCCUCUGAGCCGGCCAGGCUGCCGGCGGGUGGAGGCGUCCCUCUCCCGUCCCCACGCGUCUCAUUUGUAACCGUUGCAUGUGUCAUUCAGGGGGAGUUCACAUUUGUUUGCUUUUUGACCUUUAUUUCCUGCCAUAUUCCUUCAACCAAAUAAGUAAGUAAGUAGUGACUAGUGUGUUUGAG